UACAGGGGGGGCAAGCGUUGUUCGGAAUUACUGGGCGUAAAGGGCUCGUAGGCGGCCAACUAAGUCGGACGUGAAAUCCCUCGGCUCAACCGGGGAACUGCGUCCGAUACUGGAUGGCUUGAGUUCGGGAGAGGGAUGCGGAAUUCCAGGUGUAGCGGUGAAAUGCGUAGAUAUCUGGAGGAACACCGGUGGCGAAGGCGGCAUCCUGGACCGACACUGACGCUGAGUGAGCGAAAGCCAGGGGAGCAAACGGG
rnacentral:rRNA from 1 species